rnacentral:rRNA from 1 species
GAUGAACGCUGGCGGCGUGCCUAAUACAUGCAAGUCGAGCGAACAGACGAGGAGCUUGCUCCUCUGACGUUAGCGACGGACGGGUGAGUAACACGUGGAUAACCUACCUAUAAGACUGGGAUAACUUCGGGAAACCGGAGCUACUACCGGAUAAUAUAUUGAACCGCAUGGUUCAAUAGUGAAAGACGGUUUUGCUGUCACUUAUAGAUGGAUCCGCGCCGCAUUAGCUAGUUGGUAAGGUAACGGCUUACCAAGGCAACGAUGCGUAGCCGACCUGAGAGGGUGAUCAGCCACACUGGAACUGAGACACGGUCCAGACUCCUACGGGAGGCAGCAGUAGGGAAUCUUCCGCAAUGGGCGAAAGCUUGACGGAGCAACGCCGCGUGAGUGAUGAAGGUCUUCGGAUCGUAAAACUCUGUUAUUAGGGAAGAACAAAUGUGUAAGUAACUAUGCACGUCUUGACGGUACCUAAUCAGAAAGCCACGGCUAACUACGUG